rnacentral:tRNA from 1 species
AUUUAGUUUAAUUCAAAACUAUAGCUUGUCAAGUUAUAAAUGUAAAGUUUUAUUACAGU